rnacentral:tmRNA from 1 species
GGGGUCGACCGGUUUUGACAGGAUGUGUGAUUACGUGGGUAAGCAUGCAGGCUCAUGGGAUGAGAGCCUUGAAAGAUAGUUCCACAACACAAUUGGCGAAUCUAAUUACGCCAUGGCUGCCUAAUCUUAACAAUUCGUUAAGAAUGCAGGCUUAAUCGGUUGAGCUGCCAGACGCAGUUCCCGGGCCACAUCCCACAAAACCUCUGUUCUGCAGGUUUUGAAUUUGGGAUGUCGAAUAAGCAGAACUAGCGCCGGCAGGGUUGUGAUGCCAGUGCGAAAUUGAUCGCAACUAAGGUAAUGUUUGGCUGUUGUCGGCCUGGCUUUACCCGACAAUCUGAUGACAACUAAGCAUGUAGAAGACACGAUAGUUGCCUUCACUGGACGAGGGUUCGAAUCCCUCCGGCUCCACAA